GUGUCCGCAGACUGACAGGUCUGAGGGUCCUUUGGAGUGCGCCGGGCAGAUCUCCCGGCCGCCGCCCACCCAACACGGAGUCUGGAAGUCGAGUGCCUGGCCCGGAGAGAGCAGAGCGCAGCCAGCGCGGCAGGUGGUGGCGUCUACCCGCACCUAGCCAAACCCGGACCGCGCGAGGAAAGCGCCCUGACCAAGCCGAGACUGGCGGCCUCCCGGGGCUGGGCGCUGGAGAGAGCGCAGUUGCAGGAGUGGCCGCUGCCGAAGUCCCCGGGCAGGGGGCAGGGCCAGAGGAUUGCACGUUCCGGGUGCCGGGGCGACACUCUCGCCCCAGGAGACUCGCCGCCCAGCCCCCGAGGGUGCAGGAGCGUCUGGCCGCUCACCUGGGGCUGAGAGGGAGCUGCCGGGCGGGGAGGUGCCGCAGGCACCAGGCGGGCAGGGCGGGGCAGGACAGGACGGCCGCCUCCGCAAGUGCCACCCGGCCCACCCGGGCCUCUCCCUUCUGCCCGGGACGUCGGCGGCCGGGGCGCUCGCGGGCCGGGGCUAUAUGGGGCUCCCGCGCGGGCCGUUCUUCUGGCUGCUGCUGCUGCUCACGGCUGCCUGCUCGGGGCUUCUCUUUGCUCUGUACUUCUCGGCGGUGCAGCGGUACCCGGGGCCCGCGGCCAGAGCCAGGGACACCACAUCAUUUCAAGCAGUCUUGCAACCCAAGGCAUCGAAUUCUUGGACAGGAAAGGGCCAGGCCUGCCGACACCUGCUUCACCUGGCCAUUCAGCGGCACCCCCACUUCCGUGGCCUGUUCAAUUUCUCUGUUCCAGUGCUGCUGUGGGGGGAACUCUUCACCCCAGAGCUCUGGGACCGCCUGAGCCAACACAAAGCCCCGUAUGGCUGGCGGGGGCUCUCUUACCAAGCCAUCGCCUCCACCCUGAGCCUUCUGAACAGCUCAGAGAACGCCAAGCUGUUCGCUCCGCCCAGGGACUCCCCUCCAAAGUGUAUCCGGUGUGCUGUGGUGGGCAACGGAGGCAUUCUGAAUGGGUCCCGCCAGGGUCCCAACAUCGAUGCCCAUGACUAUGUGUUCAGACUCAAUGGAGCUGUGAUCAAAGGCUUCGAGCGCGAUGUGGGCACCAAGACUUCCUUCUAUGGUUUCACUGUGAACACGAUGAAGAAUUCCCUUGUCUCCUACUGGAACCUGGGCUUCACCUCCGUGCCACAAGGACAGGACCUGCAGUAUAUCUUCAUCCCCUCAGGCAUCCGCGACUAUGUGAUGCUGAGAUCAGCCAUUCUGGGCGUGCCUGUCCCUGAGGGCCUAGAUAAAGGGGACAGGUCCCUAAAAAUCAACACCACUGCUGUGGCCCAGACAACCAGCCCUAUCUCUGGGGUCUCCCUGAGGACAUCUCGCCCACCCCCACAGAGCGGCUUUACAGGUGGUCCUUACGGGUUAAGGGCUCUAAAGCCAGGCCCACCCCGCCCCCCGCCCUGGUGAUUACCCAACAAUUGCUUCCACUGCUGGUCUGAGCUGGGCUUUGUGACACGCUGGGCUUGGGCUCUUGGGGCUGCCUCAGAGACAUCGGGUGGACCUAAGCCUCCCCAACACCAAUGAGCUCCCCUUCCCACACCCCUAAUCCGUCCCCUACCCAGUCUCCCUCCCAGUCCCGUUCCAAUAGCAUUGUCACCCCUCCAGGCCAGCAGCCUCACGAGAGCUCAGCCCCUUCCCCCACUCGGGGCUCUUCCUCCCGGCCCCCCUCCCACCCUCCCACCCCAAGUGCCUCACAGCCCUCUUCCCGGACUUCCUCCCUGAACCCCAGUCCUCAGGUCCAACACGUGCCCCGCGGGGCCGCCCAAUCCCCCACCCCACCCACCUCCAAAUCUCCCUCCCAGUCUGGUUUCAAAUCCCUCUCUCGAAACCCUUCCCUAACCCCCACUGUGCCCCCCAAGUCCUUCUACAGCCCUGCCCCCUCAUCUUCCUAUAUCGGACCAAUUCAGAACAUCCCAUCCUAUAUCACCCCCUAUGUGCCCCGCUUUCUGAAGGAGCCCCCCUUUUUCCAGCCCCCCACAGCACCACUUCCCCAAAACCCAUGCUUUGCCUGUCCCUCUCCCUGCCCUGCCCGGAAGCCCCCACCCCCUCCUGACUCGCUCUACUUACCUCUCCUUCCCCCGCCCCCCCACCACCCCCAGUUUCACUGUCCCUUCCCAACUCCCCCCGGUCUGUUCAUGCCCCCCUCCUCUCUCUCCUACACCCCACCCGUGGAGGUCCUGGUGAGCGGGAAGCCACAUGUGGUCCCCACCGUGCUGCCUGCCACCUUCUACACCCCCUUCUCCCGCUACUACUCCCAGCCCCGCUCCUACCGCUCAGGGUACCGCGGCUACUCUGGCACCCUGACCCUCCCCUCCAUCUCCCCCUUGCAAUACGACGGCUCUGGGCGCUCUGUGCACUUCUAUCAUGGGUCCUAGGCCGCACACUUAUUUUGGACCAGAAGCUUCUGCCAGUAAAUUCAAGCUGCUACAUCCGGACCUCAUCAGCUACCUGACAAAAAGGUUCUUGAAAUCAAAGUUGAUUAACACCAAUUUUGGAGACCUAUAUAUGCCUAGUACCGGGGCUCUCAUGCUGCUGACAGCUUUGCAUACUUGUGACCAGGUCAGUGCCUAUGGAUUCAUCACAAGCAACUACUGGAAAUUUUCCGACCACUAUUUCGAAAGAAAAAUGAAGCCAUUGAUAUUCUAUGCAAACCACGAUCUGUCCCUGGAAGCUGCCCUGUGGAGAGACCUACACAACGCUGGCAUCCUUCGGCUGUACCAGCGCUGAUCCCAAGGCACUGAACCCUUUGCUUCUUCAAGACUUGCGGCCCUGAUCCUCUCAAGUGGCCAAAAGCUUUUUUCUUAACUUUUCAAUCUUCACCUUCCUUUCUUUCCAACAGAGGGCACUGGGGUGAAUUCACGACUAUCAUCGAGGUCUGUUCAAUCCAGGACACCCCAGCUUGUCCUUGGCUCAUCCAAGAAAACUCCUCUAUGCAUCUAAAACAACACAUCUCAAUCUUGGCCAAGGGAAAAUGGACUGCUUUGCUGGAUUUGCACUGAGCAACUUUAGGAAAUGUCGGUGGAGUGUUCACCAAGAUCAAACAGCAGUACAGGUGAAAGGCAAACACACAAGCUCCAGCCCAAAUCCUCCUGGUGGCGCAUCCUACCCCAGAGGCUAAAGUGAUUCAAGGACUCCAGGACACCUCUUAAGAGCCUUUCUAAGAACAUGAUAGGCUUACUUCUGCUCCAUAAUAAAGUGGGAGAAAAAAGAAUGUAACUUAAGACUA